AUGAUUGCUGCACAAAUUGCGCAGCAAUAUUAAGGUCUGUUCUUUAUAGCCUAUUUAUAACUAAACUUGUUGCACUAGUUCAGAGUUAUCUUUUUCUCUCCACAUUUAAAUGAGGAAGCUCUAAACUAGUUUAACCAGUUCAGCUAUAAAGAACAAAUCUUUUUUUCUCUCCAUAGAAAAAGAAAGAUAAGCUCUGAACUAGUGCAGCCGUAAAUUCAGCUGUAAAAAACAGAUCUCUAGUCUUCCUAUAUGUUCUAUUUUAUUCUGUCUGAUUCUAUCAUCGUAUAAAAUAAUAGUUGUUUUUCAUUUGCACUCAAGUGAUACUGAGUCACUCAAUUAUGUUCAUAACCUUACUUUGGUAUGUCUAUGGAAUCCAUAGACUCACUACAGUACACGGUCUCGAUCGUGUGCAGAAAACUCAGUUUCUCAGCAUUAAAAGGAAAGUGCAUUCAACUGAGUUAUGAUAUCAUAAGUGAUAAUUACCUGAGUUUUGAUGUAAAUGGAAAGCAACUACUUCGAUAUCACUGAGCCGAAUCCGGAAGUCGUGCGCCUAUAUGCGCACAGCGCACCACAUACACUGAUGCCUCCACAUCCAUUUUACAGCCGGAAUUUGGAUCUACAAUCUAUUUACGAUGUUAUUAAAAUAUAUAUAAAUAAAUAAAAAUUAAUUAACCAAAAUGGCAACUUCCCUUUUACAUUUUAAUUAUCUUAUAUUAAUUAUCUUAACUCGUAACUGACACAAAUUUUUGUUUAGAUAUUCACAAUAAUCACAUUUGCGAUGCAUUUUUCUCAAUUGUGCAAUUUUAUCUUUCUUUGUAUUUUAUAUAUAUGCAAUAUAUAUAAGAAAUACAUAUCAGAUUACCGUACGUGAUAAUUUUUCUUUAAAAAAAUUUAUUUUUUUUUUUUUUUUUAAUAGAUUACAAUUUUAUUAAAUGUUUAUCCUUGUGAUUUAUUUACUUUUAAAACGACCAAUCACGUUCAAAUAACAAGGCAAUCGCGAUUAGCAGUCAAUUAAAUCAUUUCAUAUCAAUUUUAUAAAAGGAAUAAUUAUGUAACAGUUAAUAAUAAAAAUAUUAUAUAAUAAAUAUUAUAGUAUACAAAUUUUACAAAUUUUUAACAAUAAGAAUAGGUAACUUAUCAUUUCUCAUUAUCUAUUUAAAUUAUCUUUUUAAUAAUGUUUCUCGCAUGAUUAAAUCGUCUAAUUUUGAUAAAUAAAUCACGAUCCUUUAAUAAAAAAAA